AAUAGAAUGGCUGAACUCUAGGCGAUAAAUUGUAAAUUUAUUUAUGAAUUAAUAUUCUUCUAUUA
rnacentral:tRNA from 1 species